rnacentral:rRNA from 1 species
CGAGUCCGACCCGCUACGGCGGGGAAGUGGGGAGCAUCAGGCUUCCAAGAAAAGCUCUAUCCACCAUAAACUGUCAGAGCCUGUACCCGAAACCGACACAGGUAGGGAGGUUGAGAAUACCAAGGGGCGCGAGAUAACUCUCUCUAAGGAACUCGGCAAAAUGGCUCCGUAACUUCGGGAGAAGGAGUGCCACUGAAAGGUGGUCGCAGUGAAGAGGCCCAGGCGACUGUUUACCAAAAACACAGGUCUCCGCCAAGUCGUAAGACGAAGUAUGGGGGCUGACGCCUGCCCAGUGCCGGAAGGUUAAGGAAGUUGGUCAGCCGUAAGGUAAAGCUGAUGACUGAAGCCCCGGUGAACGGCGGCCGUAACUAUAACGGUCCUAAGGUAGCGAAAUUCCUUGUCGGGUAAGUUCCGACCCGCACGAAAGGCGUAACGAUCUGGGCACUGUCUCGGAGAGAGACUCGGCGAAAUAGAAUUGUCUGUGAAGAUACGGACUACCUGCACCUGGACAGAAAGACCCUAUGAAGCUUUACUACAGCCUGGAAUUGGGUUCGGGCUUCGCUUGCGCAGGAUAGGUGGGAGGCUGUGAAGACUCUCUUGUGGGAGAGUUGGAGCCAUCGGUGAGAUACCACUCUGGCGAGGCUAGAAUUCUAACCUUUACCCGUCAUCCGGGAAAGAGACAGUUUCAGGGGGGUAGUUUGACUGGGGCGGUUGCCUCCUAAAAGGUAACGGAGGCGCGCAAAGGUUCCCUCAGGCUGGUUGGAAAUCAGCCGACGAGUGUAAAGGCACAAGGGAGCUUGACUGCAAGAGCUACAACUCAAGCAGGUAGGAAACUAGGCCUUAGUGAUCCGACGGUACUGCGUGGAAAGGCCGUCGCUCAACGGAUAAAAGUUACUCUAAGGAUAACAGGCUGAUCUCCCCCAAGAGUUCACAUCGACGGGGAGGUUUGGCACCUCGAUGUCGGCUCAUCGCAACCUGGGGCGGAAGUACGUCCCAAGGGUUGGGCUGUUCGCCCAUUAAAGCGGUACAUGAGCUGGGUUCAGAACGUCGUGAGACAGUUCGGUCCAUAUCCGGUGCAGGCGCAAGAGCAUUGAGAGGAGUUCUCCCUAGUACGAGAGGACCGGGAGGAACGCACCGCUGGUGUACCUGUUAUCGUGCCAACGGUAAACGCAGGGUAGCCAUGUGCGGAGCGGAUAACCGCUGAAAGCGUCUAAGUGGGAAGCCCACCUCAAGAUGAGUGCUCUCAUGGGUUAACCCAGUAAGGUCACGGGCAGAUUACCCGUUGAUAGGUGCUCGGUGGAAGUCCAGCAAUGGAUGUAGCCAAGGCACACUAACAGACCGAGGGCUU